rnacentral:lncRNA from 1 species
GCGCGUUUAGUUAUAAAAUUCAUCUGUGAGGCUCAUGUCAAAAAAUAGUUAGAAAACCAAACAAGUAUAAUCUUGAAGAGCAUUGAGGACCCUUUUUUUAAAUUGUGCCAAAUAUGGCUGCACAGCUACUUGCAUAGGUACAAUUUUCGGCACCAAACAGCUGUAGUAUUGGAAAUCGUCUUUUAAUAUUCAGUCCUAUUUU